rnacentral:rRNA from 1 species
AGCUCCAAUAGUGUAUAUUUUAAUUGUUGCAGUUUAAAAGCUCGUAGUAGAAUUUAUAGUGGUGGAAUGCAGUUCAAGCUAUGCUUGAUACUUGCACUCUCUGGUCAUCUUUGAGUGGAGCCUGUUUGGCAUUAAGUUGUCGGUCUGGGGAUGCUCAUUGUUUACUGUGGAAAAUUAGAUUGUUCAAAGCAGACUUAUGUCGUUGAAUAUAUUAGCAUGGGAUAAUAAUAUAAGACUUCGGUACUAUUUUGUUGGUUAGGUGCUGUUGUAAUGAUGAACAGGGAUAGUUAUGGGUAUUCAUAUUCUCUUGUAAGAGGUGAAAUUAUUAGAUUAAGGAAAGACGAACUACUGUGAAAGCAUUUACCAAGGAUGUUUUCA